AGUGAACGCUGGCGGUAGGCCUAACACAUGCAAGUCGAACGGCAGCACAGUAAGAGCUUGCUCUUACGGGUGGCGAGUGGCGGACGGGUGAGGAAUACAUCGGAAUCUACUUUUUCGUGGGGGAUAACGUAGGGAAACUUACGCUAAUACCGCAUACGACCUACGGGUGAAAGCAGGGGAUCUUCGGACCUUGCGCGAUUGAAUGAGCCGAUGUCGGAUUAGCUAGUUGGCGGGGUAAAGGCCCACCAAGGCGACGAUCCGUAGCUGGUCUGAGAGGAUGAUCAGCCACACUGGAGCUGAGGCACGGUCGAGACUCCUACGGGGGGCAGCAGUGGGGAAUAUUGGGCGAUGGGCGCAAGGCGAAUCCAGCCAUACCGGGUGGGGGAAGAAGGCCUUCGGGUUGUAAAGCCCUUUUGUUGGGAGAGAAAAGCAGCAGGUUUAUACCCCGCUGUUCUGACGGUACCCAAAGAAUAAGCACCGGCUAACUUCGUG
rnacentral:rRNA from 1 species